rnacentral:rRNA from 1 species
GGGCGUUUACCACGGAGUGAUUCAUGACUGGGGUGAAGUCGUAACAAGGUAGACGUAGGGGAACCUGAGGCUGGAUCACCUCCUUA